rnacentral:tRNA from 1 species
CAGAAGGUAGUUUAAUAAAAAUGCUGGUUUUGGGGAUCAGUGAUAGGGAUUUUAGUCCUUUCUUUUGA